GUGAGGAAUUUUCCGCAAUGGGCGAAAGCCUGACGGAGCAAUGCCGCGUGAAGGAUGAAGGCCUAUGGGUUGUAAACUUCUUUUCUCAGAAAAGAAUUAUGACGGUAUCUGAGGAAUAAGCAUCGGCUAACUCUGUGCCAGCAGCCGCGGUAAGACAGAGGAUGCAAGCGUUAUCCGGAAUGAUUGGGCGUAAAGCGUCUGUAGGUUGUUUAAAAAGUAUUCUGUCAAAGAUUAGGGCUUAACCCUAGAUAGGCAGAAUAAACUUUUAAGCUAGAGUUUGGUAGAGGCAGAGGGAAUUCCCGGGGGAGCGGUGAAAUGCGUAGAUAUCGGGAGGAACACCAAAGGCGAAGGCACUCUGCUGGGCCAAUACUAACACUGAGAGACGAAAGCGAGGGGAGCAAAUGGGAUUAGAAACCCCGGUAGUCC
rnacentral:rRNA from 1 species